rnacentral:pre_miRNA from 1 species
ACGUAGGGCAAUCUGUUUUUAAGUCGGAAUAAAUUUCUCUAAAGAAAAUAAAUCCUAAGUAGUUUUCCUUUCAAGUCAAGUGUCGUGU